rnacentral:rRNA from 1 species
UACGUAGGGUGCGAGCGUUGUCCGGAAUUAUUGGGCGUAAAGAGCUCGUAGGCGGCUUGUCGCGUCGGUCGUGAAAACUUGGGGCUUAACCCUGAGCUUGCGGUCGAUACGGGCAUGACUGGAGUUCGGUAGGGGAGACUGGAAUUCCUGGUGUAGCGGUGAAAUGCGCAGAUAUCAGGAGGAACACCGGUGGCGAAGGCGGGUCUCUGGGCCGAUACUGACGCUGAGGAGCGAAAGCGUGGGGGAGCGAACAGG